UACGUAGGGGCGAGCGUUGUCCGGAAUGAUUGGGCGUAAAGGGCGCGUAGGCGGCGAGUUAAGUCUGGAGUGAAAGUCCUGCUUUCAAGGUGGGAAGUGCUUUGGAAACUGGCUUGCUUGAGUGCAGGAGAGGUUAGCGGAAUUCCCGGUGUAGCGGUGAAAUGCGUAGAGAUCGGGAGGAACACCAGUGGCGAAGGCGGCUAACUGGACUGUAACUGACGCUGAGGCGCGAAAGUGUGGGGAGCAAACAGGAUUAGAUACCCCUGUAGUCCCUGA
rnacentral:rRNA from 1 species